UUAUAGACUAAUGAGACAGAAAACCCAAUUCAGAUGUUGACUGAGCAUGUUACUGGCGGGUGGAUAUCAACCACUUGGAUGCAUUUGAGUCAUUAGCAGAGACCGGGGGAGGGCCUUUGUCAUCUCCUCUAGCUUCCCCAGCCUCCAGUCCUGGACUCUGACAGUCUAGAUGGUGGAAUAUGCCCAAGACCUCACAGGCAGCCUAUCUCAUGGGUGCUUGCCCAGAUCUAAGUUUAUAAAGUUCCCCUUUGACCUCUAACACUUUGGCUUGCUCUCUGGAACUUCUUAGGAUGAAUCUAUUGCUAUAAGAAAGGUUUUCUAAUAGUUGAAGUUAGGUCGCUUGUGUUCACUAGCUUGCUGUUUUCCUCUUCCAGGCUCACUCUGUGGGUCUGGAUCCUUCCGAGGUUCUCACUUAAAGACAAUGGACUUCCCAGAGAGGAGAACAACCCUUUAGCCAAGCAAAGAGCAGUAUUUGUGCUUAUGAAUUACACUCUCCAAAGAGCCCAUGAGCACGUUGCCAGACCAGUACCCCAUCUCAUUCAGCCUUCCCUCCCUCAGAGUUCCCAGACCUUCCGCCCUCCUGGAGGUCCACCAUUGCUGGCAUCAGUUAGCCAAUGUUCUGCAAAGGGAUGCCCAGCAAAGGAAUGAAAUGUGGCAGCUAUUGUCGGGAUGGAGCCCCGUUUUCUGGGCAGUAUACUUCUAGAUGGUUGGAAUGACCCAAGCAUCUCUCCAUAGAUUAGAGGUGGGCUUCAGGUGAGGACACCUGAGGUGAAGGAGGCUGGGAGCGGAACUGUGUUGUCACUGAUGGUAGUCACUGUGAAGGGAGGAGCCAGCUACAGCAAGCAGAACGGCCACCUGGUGAGGUUCCCUCUCUCCCUCCUGCUGGCCUGGCCUGGCCCAAGCUCUUUGGGUCCGUGUCAUCCAUUUGACUGGGUCCCUGAAGACACUCAGGAAAACUAGGUCGCUCUGGGUUACGUGCCAGCAGGCUUCACCCUGUUCGAUGACAUGGAUUGGCCACAGGCCUUGAAGAGUACGGACCUAUAAAGUCAGUCGAUGAGUAAAGACACAGUCAUACCAUUUCAGAGCUAUCAAGACUGAAACACAACAAGUGUAACCACAACAUUGACAACAACACACCCAAAACACUAAGGUGUUGUUUCCCUCCCCGUCAUGUCCAUAAAUAAAUAGGCUUUUCUUUACUGAA